rnacentral:rRNA from 1 species
AUUGAACGCUGGCGGCAGGCCUAACACAUGCAAGUCGAGCGGAUGAAGGGAGCUUGCUCCUGGAUUCAGCGGCGGACGGGUGAGUAAUGCCUAGGAAUCUGCCUGGCUGUGGGGGAUAACGUCCGGAAACGGGCGCUAAUACCGCAUACGUCCUGAGGGAGAAAGUGGGGGAUCUUCGGACCUCUCGCUAUCAGAUGAGCCUAGGUCGGAGUAGCUAGUUGGUGGGGUAAAGGCCUACCAAGGCGACGAUCCGUAACUGGUCUGAGAGGAUGAUCAGUCACACUGGAACUGAGACACGGUCCAGACUCCUACGGGAGGCAGCAGUGGGGAAUAUUGGACAAUGGGCGAAAGCCUGAUCCAGCCAUGCCGCGUGUGUGAAGAAGGUCUUCGGAUUGUAAAGCACUUUAAGUUGGGAGGAAGGGCAGUAAGUUAAUACCUUGCUGUUUUGACGUUACCAACAGAAUAAGCACCGGCUAACUUCGUG